UGACAGUGAUGGACUCUGUGACAUGGU
rnacentral:piRNA from 1 species